rnacentral:rRNA from 1 species
UACAGAGGUCUCAAGCGUUGUUCGGAUUCAUUGGGCGUAAAGGGUGUGUAGGUGGCGCCGUAAGUCGGGUGUGAAAUUUCGGAGCUUAACUCCGAAACUGCAUUCGAUACUGCGGUGCUUGAGGACUGGAGAGGAGACUGGAAUUCAUGGUGUAGCAGUGAAAUGCGUAGAGAUCAUGAGGAAGACCAGUGGCGAAGGCGGGUCUCUGGACAGUUCCUGACACUGAGACACGAAGGCCCAGGGGAGCAAACGGG